rnacentral:snRNA from 1 species
AAAAAGACUUUCGGCUAUGUUUAGCACACAGAGGGCGAGAUUUCAACCCUUCGUCCGGAAUCGCCAUCAAGAGAUUUCGGAAGCACAAUAUUUAUGACCAGGGCUGGAGGGGCUCUUUUAUCCUGGUGUUCCA